UUACAAAAAACUCUCUUUUCCUCACAUUCUCUCCUUUUUCGGAUACAUCACUGAGAAUCAUCCCAACUACAUAAGUUUUUUCUUCUUUUUUUUUUCACGCCUAAAAUCACCCCAUGGUAUCACCAAUUACCUCCAUCAGUUUUUUUUUAUUUCAGUUUUUUUCUCUUUUCAAUUCUUCGAUUGCAAGUUAUUGAAGAAGCAAUGAGAGUUCAAACUUGACAUUUAGUAUACAAGUAUAUAGUCAAUGUCGAUGGAGGAUGAAACGACAUAGAGGCGACGGCGGCAGCACAAAAGGAGAGACUGAGAGCCCUCAGAGAAGCUUAUGGACUUUUUCAAAUUUUGAUGAUGAGAUUAACAAGACUAACGAAGAUAGUCAUGAUAUAUAUUAUCAAAAAAUUUGACAAUUUUGAAUUAUAAUUUAAAGGAUCUUCGAUGAAUUGAGAGAAGAAUGUUGAAGCUCGAACUUUUUGACAUCUUCACUGAACUGGGAGAAGAAUUUUGAAUCUCAAAAAUUUAAAUAUGAUCUUCGGUGAAGUGGGAGAAAAACUUUG